AUCCUAUAUUGAGGGUAUUUUCUCAACAAUUCCUUGUAUCGUUUCCAUGCUUCGUAUAAGGUUUCAGACUCCAUCUAUCUGAAAGAAGAUAUAUCAAUUUUUAGGUU